rnacentral:rRNA from 1 species
UUUCCGGAGGUGAACCUGCGGAAGGAUCAUUAU